rnacentral:rRNA from 1 species
AUUGAACGCUAGCGGCAUGCCUUACACAUGCAAGUCGAACGGCAGCACGGGAGCAAUCCUGGUGGCGAGUGGCGAACGGGUGAGUAAAGUAUCGGAACGUGCCCAGUCGUGGGGGAUGACGUAGCGAAAGUUACGCUAAUACCGCAUACGAUCUAUGGAUGAAAGCGGGGGAUCGCAAGACCUCGCGCGAUUGGAGCGGCCGAUAUCAGACUAGGUAGUUGGUGGGGUAAAGGCUCACCAAGCCGACGAUCUGUAGCUGGUCUGAGAGGACGACCAGCCACACUGGGACUGAGACACGGCCCAGACUCCUACGGGAGGCAGCAGUGGGGAAUUUUGGACAAUGGGCGAAAGCCUGAUCCAGCCAUGCCGCGUGCAGGAUGAAGGCCUUCGGGUUGCAAACUGCUUUUGUACGGAACGAAAAGGUUUGGCCUAAUAAGCUGAGCUCAUGACGGUACCGUAAGAAUAAGCACCGGCUAACUACGUGCCAGCAGCCGCAGUAA